CGAAGGGUAUAUGGUGGAUGCCUUGACACACGAACGACGAUGAAGGACGUAGGAGCCUGCGAUAAGCCUCGGGGAGGUGGCAACCAACCUGUGAUCCGGGGAUAUCCGAAUGGGGAAACCCCCUGUCCGUUUGGACGGGAUCAUGCACUGAAUACAUAGGUGUAUGAAGAACACCUGGUGAAUUGAAACAUCUUAGUAGCCAGAGGAAAAGAAACUAACUCUUCGCGCAAGCGAAGAAACAUUCCCUUAGUAGUGGCGAGCGAACGGGGAAAAGCCAAAACUCUUCUCUCUCUUUGCAGCAAUGCAAGGUAUGGGUGUAGGCCCAAUGGAAGAAGGGCGUUGUGAGAAAAUUAUUUUGAACCCCUACAAAGGCCGUGAGGGAAAGGUAAAAAGCACCCCGGUGAGGGGAAUGAAAAGUAUCUGAAACCAUAUACUUACAAGCAGUCAGCGUCCCGCAUUGCGGGAUCAUGGCGUGCCUAUUGAAGAAUGAGCCAACGAGUUUGUUCGGUAGAGUGCGGCCAAGCCCGAAAAGGGCCAAGCCACAGUGAAAGCGAGCGUGAUAAACGCGACCUAUUCAUUCUACCGACAAGACCCGAAGCCGUGUGACCUAUCCAUGGACAGGAUGAACUCCGCAGAAAUGCGGGGGAAGGUCCGAACCCACGCGCCGUACAACACGCGGGGACGAUCUGUGGAUAGCGGAGAAAUUCCAAUCGAACUCGGCAAUAGCUGGUUCUCCUCGAAAUAGCUUGAGGGCUAGCCUCCCGAAAUUUCUUACUGGUGGUAGAGCACUGAAUUGGUGAAGAUGGCGUAAGCCUACUUUACUAAACCAAACUCCGAAUGCCAGUGUAGAUUAUCGGGGGAGUCAGACCGUGGGGGCGAAGCUUCACCGGUCAAAAGGGAAACAGCCCAGAUCCUCAUAUAAGGUCCCUAAAUCGAGAUUAAGUGUUAAAGGAGGUGCAAAAGUUCAGACAACUAGGAGGUUUGCUUAGAAGCAGCAAUCCUUUAAAGAAAGCGUAACAGCUCACUAGUCAAGCUCUUGCGCACCGAAAAUGUACCGGGGCUCAAAUCUCGUACCGAAUAUGGGAACUUCUGCCUUUUAGGCAGAAUUGGUAGAGGAGCGUUCGAAGUGCGGUGAAGUCGUUUCGACAAGAAACGGUGGAGCGCUUCGAAGUGAGAAUGUUGGCAUAAGUAGCACAAAGACGGGUGAGAACCCCGUCCACCGAAAACUCAAGGUUUCCUGGGCAACGCAAAUCGUCCCAGGGUUAGUCGGUCCUAAGGCGAGGCUGAAUAUGCGUAGCCGAUGGACAGCUGGUUAAUAUUCCAGCACCGCCACUGUAUGUAUGCGUUUUGACGCACGGGUAAAUUGUCUGCGUGUUCUGGUUAUGCACGCUCUUGGUCUGGCGUAAAGUCGGAUUGAGAGAAGGUUGCGGCGCAAGCCAAGACCAACAGAUAAGGAUCACGUGCCGCGAAAAGAAACGUAUACUUCAAUGCAGUGGUGUCCGUACCGCAAACCGACACAGGUGAGUAAGGAGAGAAUCCUAAGGUGAACGAGAGAACCCUCGUUUAGGAACUCGGCAAUACAACGGCCGUACCUUUGGUAUAUGGCCUGUCGCCGCAAGGCGACCUCAGUAAAAGAUCUCAAGCGACUGUUUAUCAAAAACACAGGUCCCUGCUAAACCGAAAGGUGAUGUAUAGGGGCUGAUGCCUGGCCAGUGUCAGAACGUUAAGGUGAGGGGUGCAAGCUCCGAGCUGAAGCGCUGACGAACGCCGGCGGUAACUAUAACCGUCCUAAGGUAGCGAAAUUCCUUGUCGGGUAAGUUCCGACCUGCACGAAUGGCAUAACGACUUGAGAACUGUCUCAACGAGGGACUCGGCGAAAUUACAAGAUGAGUGAAGAUGCUCAUUACCCGCGGCUAGACGAAAAGACCCCGUGAAGCUUUACUACAACUUGGCAUUGUCAUAACGUUUUUACUGCCGAGAAUACGUGGGAGACUAUGAAGGUUUGCCUUUGGGCGGACUGGAGUCGCAAUAUGGAAUACCACGCUGGAAUGAUGUUAUGACUAACCUCUUGCCCUUAUCGGGCAGAGAGACAGUGUCUGGUGGGUAGUUUGACUGGGGCGGUCGCCUCCCAAAACGUAACGGAGGCGUUUACAAAGGUUGGCUAAGCUCGGAUGGAAAUCGAGCUGAUAGGGCAAAGCCAUAAGCCAGCUUUACUGCAAGACGUACAUGUCGAGCAGUUGCGAAAGCAGAACUUAGUGAUCCGACCGUAUGUGGCGUAUUGCAUGCUUGUCCCGAAUUUAUUUCGGGAUCUGCAGCAGUAUGUCCUCGAUAUAGGACGGCGGAAGCUCAUCGGAUAAAAGCUACUCCGGGGAUAACAGGCUGAUCUCCUCCAAGAGUCCACAUCGACGAGGAGGUUUGGCACCUUAACGACGAAAUCGGGGUGCUAUGAAAGUAAUUUCAUACCAAGAGAAAAAUAAAUUCGGCUUAUAACGGUGAACUCCUCAUUGCACACCGAUAGGGUGCAAAAGGACAAUACCGUGGGAAGUCUUCCACUGAUGGUGGAAUGACCCCGUAACGACUGACCCGAAAGGGGAAGCUCUCAUUAUUCAAGCAUUACCGGUACGCGAGCUGGGUUCAGAACGUCGUAAGACAGUUCGGUCUCCUAUCUGCCGUGGGCGUUAGAAAUUUGAGAAGACUCUUCCCUAGUACGAGAGGACCGGGAAGAACGAACCUCUCGUCGACGAGUUGUCCCACCAGGGGCAUUGCUCGGUAGCGACGUUCGGCACGGAUAAGCGCUGAAAGCAUAUAAGCGUGAAGCCGUCUUCAAGAUUAAAUUUCUUUUAAGCUCCCCGAGAGAUGAUCGGGUCGAUAGGCUCUACGUGGAAGUCCUGUAAAGGAUGAAGCGGAGGAGUACUAAUAGAGCGUAGAGC
rnacentral:rRNA from 1 species